AUUGAACGCUAACGGCGUGCUUAACACAUGCAAGUCGAGCGGCAGCACAGUAGUAGCAAUACUAUGGGUGGCGAGCGGCGGACGGGUGAGUAAUGCAUAGGAAUCUGCCUUGUAGUGGGGGAUAACCCGGGGAAACUCGGGCUAAUACCGCAUAAUCUCUACGGAGCAAAGUGGGGGACCGUAAGGCCUCACGCUAAAGGAUGAGCCUAUGUUGGAUUAGCUAGUUGGUAGGGUAAAGGCCUACCAAGGCAACGAUCCAUAGCUGGUCUGAGAGGAUGAUCAGCCACACUGGGACUGAGACACGGCCCAGACUCCUACGGGAGGCAGCAGUGGGGAAUAUUGGACAAUGGGCGAAAGCCUGAUCCAGCAACGCCGUGUGUGUGAAGAAGGCCUUCGGGUUGUAAAGCACUUUUAGUUGGGAAGAAAAGCUCAAGACUAAUACCCUUGAGUGAUGACGUUACCAACAGAAAAAGCACUGGCUAACUCUGUGCCAGCCGCCGCGGUAA
rnacentral:rRNA from 1 species